rnacentral:rRNA from 1 species
CAGUAGCCACGGGAAUACGGAGGGGGCUAGCGUUGUUCGGAAUUACUGGGCGUAAAGCGCACGUAGGCGGCUUGGUAAGUUAGAGGUGAAAGCCCGGAGCUCAACUCCGGAAUUGCCUUUAAGACUGCCGAGCUAGCAGGUGAGAGAGGUAAGUGGAAUUCCGAGUGUAGAGGUGAAAUUCGUAGAUAUUCGGAAGAACACCGGUGGCGAAGGCGGCAACCUGGUCCAUUACUGACGCUGAGGCGCGAUAGCGUGGGGAGCAAACAGGAUUAGAUACCCCUGUAGUCCCUGUCUCUUAUAC